rnacentral:rRNA from 1 species
UAAAACCAGCACCUCAAGUGGUCAGGAUGAUUAUUGGGCCUAAAGCAUCCGUAGCCGGCUCUGUAAGUUUUCGGUUAAAUCUGUACGCUCAACGUACAGGCUGCUGGAAAUACUGCAGAGCUAGGGAGUGGGAGAGGUAGACGGUACUCGGGUGGAAGUGGUAAAAUGCUUUGAUCUCUCGAUGACCACCUGUGGCGAAGGCGGUCUACCAGAACACGUCCGACGGUGAGGGAUGAAAGCUGGGGGAGCAAACCGGAUUAGAUACCCGGGUAGUCCCAGCUGUAAACUAUGCAAACUCAGUGAUGCGUUGGCUUAUGGCCAGCGCAGUGUUGCAGGGAAGCCGUUAAGUUUGCCGCCUGGGAAGUACGUACGCAAGUAUG